UACGUAGGGUGCAAGCGUUGUCCGGAAUUGUUGGGCGUAAAGAGCUCGUAGGCGGUUUGUUGCGUCGGCUGUGAAAUCCCGAGGCUCAACCUCGGGUCUGCAGUCGAUACGAGCAAACUAGAGUGUUGCAGGGGAGACUGGAAUUCCUGGUGUAGCGGUGAAAUGCGCAGAUAUCAGGAGGAACACCGGUGGCGAAGGCGGGUCUCUGGGCAACAACUGACGCUGAGGAGCGAAAGCGUGGGGAGCGAACAGG
rnacentral:rRNA from 1 species